AAUCAACGCUGGCGGCGUGCCUCAGACAUGCAAGUCGAACGAUUAAAGCUCCCUUCGGGGAGUGCAUAGAGUGGCGCACGGGUGAGUAACACGUAAGUAAUCUACCUUUGAGUGGGGAAUAACGUUCGGAAACGGACGCUAAUACCGCAUAAUGCAGCGGCAUCGCAAGAUGACAGUUGUUAAAGGAGCAAUCCGCUUAAAGAGGAGCUUGCGGCAGAUUAGCUUGUUGGUAAGGUAACGGCUUACCAAGGCUACGAUCUGUAUCCGGUCUAAGAGGACGGUCGGACACACUGACACUGAAUAACGGGUCAGACUCCUACGGAGGCAGCAGUCGGAAUAUUGGACAAUGGGCGCAAGCCUGAUCCAGCGAUGCCGCGUGUGUGAAGAAGGCCU
rnacentral:rRNA from 1 species